UCGAACGCUGAAGCCUGGUGCUUGCACCGGGUGGAUGAGUGGCGAACGGGUGAGUAACACGUGAGUAACCUGCCCCUGACUUCGGGAUAAGCCCGGGAAACUGGGUCUAAUACCGGAUACGACUGCCGGACGCAUGUCUGGUGGUGGAAAGUUUUUUCGGUUGGGGAUGGGCUCGCGGCCUAUCAGUUUGUUGGUGAGGUAAUGGCUCACCAAGACGACGACGGGUAGCCGGCCUGAGAGGGCGACCGGCCACACUGGGACUGAGACACGGCCCAGACUCCUACGGGAGGCAGCAGUGGGGAAUAUUGCACAAUGGGGGAAACCCUGAUGCAGCGACGCAGCGUGCGGGAUGACGGCCUUCGGGUUGUAAACCGCUUUCAGCAGGGAAGAAGCGCAAGUGACGGUACCUGCAGAAGAAGUACCGGCUAACUACGUGCCAGCAGCCGCGGUAAUACGUAGGGUACGAGCGUUGUCCGGAAUUAUUGGGCGUAAAGAGCUCGUAGGUGGUUGGUCACGUCUGCUGUGGAAACGCAACGCUUAACGUUGCGCGUGCAGUGGGUACGGGCUGACUAGAGUGCAGUAGGGGAGUCUGGAAUUCCUGGUGUAGCGGUGAAAUGCGCAGAUAUCAGGAGGAACACCGGUGGCGAAGGCGGGACUCUGGGCUGUAACUGACACUGAGGAGCGAAAGCAUGGGGAGCGAACAGGAUUA
rnacentral:rRNA from 1 species